GCAGUGUUAUAUUGGUUGUAAUUUUAAAGAAGUUAACCCACGGUGGCGACCGUACCAUCACCACGAACUCCAAUUUAAUUUAUAACUAGCAGGUGUGUCCGCGCGUUGCUACGGGUCAACAAAAUCACAAACUAUUUUUUUUAAGUGUAGGCAACUCAUGGCGCCGUCGAGGUCGGCAUGCGGGUGUGGUGACGUCGGUUGUAAGACGGAGUAGGAGAAAUCGUGAAAAAAACUUGAGGAAAAGAAAAUAACGAGCAGCGGCAUAUUGGUUGUAAUCUUAACUGGAGAAAAAAAAAUAACGAGCAGUGACAUAGUGGUU
rnacentral:lncRNA from 1 species